rnacentral:tRNA from 1 species
AUUUAUGUAGUUUAAAAAAAACUUUACAUUUUCAUUGUGAUAAUAAAAAUUUAUUUUUUAUAAAUA